GUACGGCCCAUUUUCAUAUAAACAGUUAAACCGAACUCGGUUUCAGUAUUGCAAUUUCAGUAGAAACUGUGCAAACAAGCUGUAGGGUUUGCGAUCAGCUUGCAACAGGAAGCAUUGCCUAGAGCUGUUCAUUCUGAGAUGUCGGGGAUUCCAGUAUUUCGUGCGCUUGCACCAAAGACCAAGAAUGCAGUUGUUGCUGGAGGUCUGACUGCGUUUGUCUUUGGGGUGUAUUUCUACACGAUGAGAGCAGUCGGUGGUACUGAUGAACUUCAGGUGGCUAUUGACAAGUUUGAAGAUCAGAAGCAUCGAAACGAGGAAUAAGCUAUUACUACAAGAUUAUAUAUUUAUGUAUAAUUAGGUGAAUGUUGUUGCCCUCAGUUUCUUUAUAUUUAAAUAAAGUCUGAAUUUAUAAA